rnacentral:rRNA from 1 species
CAAGUCGAACGGCAGCACGGGUGCUUGCACCUGAUGGCGAGUGGCGAACGGGUGAGUAAUACAUCGGAACGUACCUUAUCGUGGGGGAUAACGCAGCGAAAGCUGUGCUAAUACCGCAUACGCCCUGAGGGGGAAAGCGGGGGAUCGCAAGACCUCGCGCGAUUAGAGCGGCCGAUGCCUGAUUAGCUUGUUGGUGGGGUAAAAGCCCACCAAGGCGACGAUCAGUAGCUGGUCUGAGAGGACGAUCAGCCACACUGGGACUGAGACACGGCCCAGACUCCUACGGGAGGCAGCAGUGGGGAAUUUUGGACAAUGGGGGCAACCCUGAUCCAGCAAUGCCGCGUGAGUGAAGAAGGCCUUCGGGUUGUAAAGCUCUUUUGUCAGGGAAGAAACACCGGCUCUAACACAGUCCGGGAAUGACGGUACCUGAAGAAUAAGCACCGGCUAACUACGUGCCAGCAGCCGCGGUAAUACGUAGGGUGCGAGCGUUAAUCGGAAUUACUGGGCGUAAAGCGUGCGCAGGCGGUUAUGUAAGACAGGCGUGAAAUCCCCGGGCUUAACCUGGGAAUUGCGCUUGUGACUGCAUAGCUAGAGUAUGUCAGAGGGGGGUAGAAUUCCACGUGUAGCAGUGAAAUGCGUAGAGAUGUGGAGGAAUACCAAUGGCGAAGGCAGCCCCCUGGGAUAAUACUGACGCUCAUGCACGAAAGCGUGGGGAGCAAACAGGAUUAGAUACCCUGGUAGUCCACGCCCUAAACGAUGCUGACUAGUUGUUCGGGAAUUUAUUCCUGAGUAACGUAGCUAACGCGUGAAGUCAGCCGCCUGGGGAGUACGGUCGCAAGAUUAAAACUCAAAGGAAUUGACGGG